rnacentral:misc_RNA from 1 species
UAAGAUGGUUUGGUCAUGUUCAAUGUAGAAAAUCUAAUGAUAUUGAUGCAGAACUAGUCUCAAUAAAGCUAAAUGGCGAAAAUGAUCCAUAUUGUUUGGGAUUAAGGCUUAAUUGUUCUUUUCUUUUUGUUAUCGUUGUUGAUGUAGAUUUCACAAUUAUUUUCCAAUUUUUGGUUAUCAAAGAAUCAUUUAUUUAAAGCCCAUGGUUUGUAGAAUCAACAGCAUCAUUUAUUGUUCAGCAUUUUUAUGUAGUAGAGCAACUAAACUUUACCAAAUUCAAAUCUCUCUUGUACUGCUAAAUAAGAUCAGAAAGGUAAAAAAGAUGUAGUAAUGCCCAAUCAAUCACUGAAUCACAAGUUUCGUAAGCAAUAAGAUUGAUAUGUUUCUAACUUAAGCUCAACCAUCUCUAGUAAUUUUUUUUCCUGAUUGCCACCUUUUAAGUCUGCUUGUUAACAUGAGAUAUUUUUGUCCAAUUGUUUUAAUUGUGAAUUGUCACAACCUAAGUCAAAAUAGUGAAAUGCAUGAGGGAGGCUCUUUCUAAUACAGAUUCACCUCUUUGAAUGAGUAGUUUUUUCUGUGUGAGAGAAGCACCCAAAGAGUUGCUAGGCCAUCUAAAAGGCAUGUUUGUAUCACUUAAUUGCUUUGUGUUGCCUGAUCUGGACAAUUGGAAUAUUAUCUGAUUUUUGUUUAUGCCAGACAAGUUAUAAAUAUCCCUUUAUUUCACAGUCACUGAACAGAAAGUAAGAUCUAUUAUAUUACAUGCUAUGUUAUCAUUACAUCUUUGUGUUAUCAAGAAUCAUCAAAAUGCUUGGCUGAUUUUCGUAUUUGCUGACAAAUGACUGUGCAAUCAAAUGUUGAGGAAAAAACAGAUGAUGUUAAAGGAAGGAAAAAGAGAAUAUUUUCAUUAUGCAGUCUGCUAUAUCCAAAAACUUUUGAUUGUUACUGCAGGAAGACCAUGGGGUUUAGUCAAGAGUAAGGUUCGUAAGGACUAUCCUUCUGUUCAAUUGACGGCCUGGAAGGUGCAGAAAUAUGAACCAUUUUCUUCUUAUUAUUAAUUUUUUCUAUUUUGCCUGGUUUAAAUGACAAAAUGCAACAUUAAGCUGUUGUCUGAAUUGGCAACUCUAAAAUUAGGAUGCUUAUUACUUGCAGUUCUGGCCUAUAGUCAGUUGGGUGAAUCACCAGUAUAUGCCAUUGCAGUUUCGUGUUCUAUUUCAAAGCUUUGUUGCUUCAUGCUGGUGCGGUCUCAUUCUUUCACCUUGUCUAUAUUUCUUUUCUAAAUUUUUUUAAUUCCUUGAAUAACUCCAUCUUAGUCAUCUUCCCUUUUAUGCAUGGAUGGAUGAAUAUGAUAAUUAAGUUAAUAUGUUUUCUACUGGAAAUGUAAAAUUUCAAACUCUAUGCUUUGGCUAGUGUACAUUGACAAUGUUAUAAUAAAGGUGCACAAGUGAGUGCUUCCCAAGUAUUAUGCAAUGGAACACUCAAAGCACUUCGAAAAUUAAUGGGGAAGGGUAGAAAACAUUGAGGUUGUCACUCACAACUACCAUGAGUCCAUAAAACCCCUGGUCACUUUAUGAAUUUUUAUUGUUAUUUCAGAUAUCUUUCAUAUGUGAACUCAAAAAUUGAACAAUUAGUUCACUC